GACGAACCGUGCGAACGUUAUUCGGAAUCACUGGGCUUAAAGGGUGCGUAGGAGGGCAGGUAAGUCAGUGGUGAAAUCUCCAAGCUUAACUUGGAAACUGCCGUUGAUACUAUCUGUCUUGAAUAUUGUGGAGGUGAGCGGAAUAUGUCAUGUAGCGGUGAAAUGCUUAGAUAUGACAUAGAACACCAAUUGCGAAGGCAGCUCGCUACUCAAUUAUUGACUCUGAGGCACGAAAGCGUGGGGAUCAAACAGG
rnacentral:rRNA from 1 species